rnacentral:rRNA from 1 species
CUACGGGUCGCUGCAGUGGGGAAUAUUGCACAAUGGAGGAAACUCUGAUGCAGCAACGCCGCGUGGAGGAUGACACUUUUCGGAGCGUAAACUCCUUUUAUAUAGGAAGAAGAUGACGGUACUAUAUGAAUAAGCGCCGGCUAACUCCGUGCCAGCAGCCGCGGUAAUACGGAGGGCGCAAGCGUUACUCGGAAUCACUGGGCGUAAAGAGCGUGUAGGCGGCUUAAAAAGUCAGAAGUGAAAUCCUAUAGCUUAACUAUAGAACUGCUUCUGAAACUCUUAAUCUAGAAUAUGGGAGAGGUAGAUGGAAUUUCUGGUGUAGGGGUAAAAUCCGUAGAGAUCAGAAGGAAUACCGAUUGCGAAGGCGAUCUACUAGAACAUUAUUGACGCUGAGACGUGAAAGCGUGGGGAGCAAACAGGAUUAGAUACCCGGGUAGUC